GGGGCUGUGGCUCAGUGGUAGAGUGCUUGCCUAGCACACAUGAGGCACUGGGUUCAAACCCCACCACCA
rnacentral:tRNA from 1 species